AAAAUAACCUCCACCAUUACAAUCCAUCAAAGGGAAGGAAAGAAAAGCAUGUUUUGCUUUUCCUCUUUCCUUCAUUCCAUUAUCAUCAUGGUAACCAAGUGCUGUGUGCUGUGUUUGUUGCUUCAAUGAUUCUUCUUUGGAUUGUCUUUCCUCUCCCCAUCCAGACCAACCAUAUUUUAUCAGACCAUUAAUAUCAUCAAUCAACCCAGACAGAUAACUGAACAAACCACCCAUUUGAGGCCAUCUCAAAUGGAGGACAAUAUUUCCCACUUCCUCUCACAGCUUUUCCCAAAAUUGUGGGUUCAAGAGUCCGACAAGCAUUCAGACUGCCGCUGCUUUAGCUAUUUUGAACUUUCAUUUCUUCUCAGGCUGCCAUAAGAUAUGUGCCCCCACUGUUACUUCUCCCCGGGGCAAGAAACGCCAUUCGUAAGUCUACAGUCCCGAUUCGAAAUAAUAGCUGGAUGGGUUGGUUAAGAACAAGAGCCAUAAUCCUCUACCCACCCGCAGGUUGUUUUUGCUCUGUA
rnacentral:misc_RNA from 1 species